UAAACCCAACAAUACUCUUUAAAGAAUAAAAAACACCCAUUAUUUUUCCAUAUAUGAAACUGUCAAAAUAAUGAGCAUUAUUCUUUUUUCGAAAAUGUGUUAUUUAUGCCCAUUUUGAAGUUCCAAGCUUUUACUCAUUAAUGAGUGAAAAACAAGUUGAAAUUAAUUUAUAAACAAGCAACCGGAGAUGCUGAUGGCGAAUGAGCCCGAACAAUCAGCAAACAUCAGCCGCAAACAAAGUUGACCCCAGCAAACCUUCGAUUUUAGAAUAUAUUUCUUAGGCAGCUGGUGGUGGUGGUUAGGAAGCCGAAAAACGAUCAUCACCAAUAGAGAAAGCCUUUGUUUCCAGCAUUGGUCCCGGAGAAAGCUGCUGAUAAUAUCCCGGGUAUCGAGAAGCCGGAACGGUUGAUAAUAAUAAUGCCGAUUCCGGCAUUUACUCCUGAUGCAGCUGCUAGUGGUACUCCGCAAUUCUGUUCAGAAAUACCGCUAUAAAUUGAAGACUCAUUUGAAGCUGCUUUGGUCCGAUUUCGCUGGAGACAAGAGUUCUCAGGAUGUGGUUGAGAACCAGUUAUUUUCGUCGACGGAACCAGUUGGAUCAUAUAUAUUCGUAGUUCCACCGAAAGAGUACACACAAAAAACAAACAUGGUUUCAUAGAAUGUUUUGCACUCCCGCAUAAUAAAAAACAACAUGUUAUAUGGUCGGAAUCAUUAUUACGAUGUAAGAUAUAGCUUCACAGUUUACGUUGCGGUUAUCGAAUACUUUUCAAUCGAUUCAACCAUAACUGCUCGACAACAUCACUAAAUGUCAACAUAUAACAUGCUGUCUCUAAAAUGUUCUUUAUUUCCUGCAUUAUAUGUCAACAUUUUAUCAUACUGUUGAGCGAAAAUUUUGCACGCGAAAACAGACGAUUUUUUAUGGUGACAUAACUUAACAACCCAUUCAACAUAGUGUUAUUUGUCAAAUAACCGUACCACAAACUGUUAAAACUUUAUAUGAGAUUGUUCAUUUACAGUUGUCAACAGUAAAGGAUACUGUUGUCGACCGCACGGGAAAAUAUCCAUGUACAGUUUGUAUUUAUGCGGGCUUUCUCCUUGAAAAGUGCUUAAUUUUCUUAAAAUUAAAAAUGAAAUUAGCUUCAUUGAAAAUAUCUUUUUUAUUUGAAAGUUAUUUUUCUUCUGUUCCUAACGAUAAAUUAAAAGUUGUCUCAUUCAAUCUAAAAGUUGUUUUACUUUCAAAACAUCGAACGAUAUAUGUAUAUACACAGUGUAUACACUGCAUGGGUGAAAAAGAGAAAAGAACACAUUAUGUCAUGUAUCUUAUCCAUCUUUUUCUUUUCCUCUCAGUGUAUGACAAAAAUUUGAACCGCGAUAAAAACAAAGCAGCAGCGACGACGAGCAGAGGAAGCUAGCCACCACUGGCACUGCUCCCGAUUUAUAAUUGCAACUGCUAUUGUGUGGUGGCGAAUUAAGUUUUUACUACUAUUGUGCGCUGGUGGAGCUCAUAUUUAUUACGGAAUCAAAAGAUUCGGUCCGGCAGUUUUGACAGGAAGAAAAUCUGACACGUUCAAAAAUGCAUCUUCAAGAGUGGCUGGGGUCGAUGGAUUAUGUUGAAGCCUCGUCGGUAGUUUUGGAAACUACUACAGCUGCUAGUCGGGCUGAACGAUGAAUGUCAUGAGAUUUUGAGGACACCUGUCACAUGUGCGUUAUUUAAUCAUCCCAGAAAAAUAAAUAUUGGGUUUAAAAUAAAUUGAAAAUGAAAUAAAAAUGAAAAUCGA